AACGGAGGGGGCUAGCGUUGUUCGGAAUUACUGGGCGUAAAGCGUACGUAGGCGGCUUUGUAAGUUAGAGGUGAAAGCCCGGGGCUCAACUCCGGAAUUGCCUUUAAGACUGCAUCGCUUGAAUCAUGGAGAGGUGAGUGGAAUUCCGAGUGUAGAGGUGAAAUUCGUAGAUAUUCGGAAGAACACCAGUGGCGAAGGCGACUCACUGGACAUGUAUUGACGCUGAGGUACGAAAGCGUGGGGAGCAAACAGG
rnacentral:rRNA from 1 species